AAUCAACGCUGGCGGCGUGCCUAACACAUGCAAGUCGAACGCGAAAGCCCCGCAAGGGGUAAGUAGAGUGGCAAACGGGUGAGUAACACGUGGGUGACCUGCCUUCGAGUGGGGGAUAACGUCCCGAAAGGGACGCUAAUACCGCAUGACAUCCUGCUUUUGAAAAAGCGGAGAUCAAAGCUGGGGAUCGCAAGACCUAGCGCUUGAAGAGGGGCCCGCGCCUGAUUAGCUAGUUGGUGAGGUAACGGCUCACCAAGGCGACGAUCAGUAUCCGGCCUGAGAGGGCGGACGGACACACUGGGACUGAGACACGGCCCAGACUCCUACGGGAGGCAGCAGUGGGGAAUUGUUCGCAAUGGGCGCAAGCCUGACGACGCAACGCCGCGUGGAGGACGAAGAGCGUCGGGUCGUAAACUCCUGUCGAGCGGGACGAACGCUUCGCGGAUGAAUAAUCCGCGGAAUUGACGGUACCGCUAAAGGAAGCCCCGGCUAACUCCGUG
rnacentral:rRNA from 1 species